rnacentral:piRNA from 1 species
CCCGAUUGAUGCCUGGGCUUGAACCAU